CAAGGUGACCUCGGAUCAG
rnacentral:rRNA from 1 species